rnacentral:rRNA from 1 species
GACGAACGCUGGCGGCGUGCUUAACACAUGCAAGUCGAACGGUGAUGCUCCAGCUUGCUGGAGUGGAUCAGUGGCGAACGGGUGAGUAACACGUGAGCAACCUGCCCCAGACUCUGGAAUAAGCGCUGGAAACGGCGUCUAAUACUGGAUACGAAACUGGCCCGCAUGGGCAUGGUUUGGAAAGUUUUUCGGUUUGGGAUGGGCUCGCGGCCUAUCAGCUUGUUGGUGAGGUAAUGGCUCACCAAGGCGACGACGGGUAGCCGGCCUGAGAGGGCGACCGGCCACACUGGGACUGAGACACGGCCCAGACUCCUACGGGAGGCAGCAGUGGGGAAUAUUGCGCAAUGGGCGAAAGCCUGAUGCAGCGACGCCGCGUGAGGGAUGACGGCCUUCGGGUUGUAAACCUCUUUCAGCAGGGAAGAAGCGAAAGUGACGGUACCUGCAGAAGAAGCACCGGCUAACUACGUG